UCCGCGUUAUCCGCGGCAGUUUCUUUAGAGUGCCCAACUGAAUGAUGGCAACUAAAGAUGGGGGUUGCGCUCGUUGCGGGACUUAACCCAACAUCUCACGACACGAGCUGACGACAGCCAUGCAACACCUGUGUCCGGUCCAACUAAAUGACUCCCUGCUUUCACAAGGAUACAACCGGCAUACAAGCCCAGGUAAGGUUCUUCGCGUAUCGUCGAAUUAAAGGACAUGCUCCACCACUUGUGCGGGUCCCCGUCAAUUCCUUUGAGUUUUAACCUUGCGGCCGUAAUCCCCAGGCGGCACGUUUACCGCGUUAGCUAAGUCACCGAGUUCUGUAGCGAACCCGACAACGAACGUGCAUCGUUUACGGCGUGGACUAC
rnacentral:misc_RNA from 1 species